UGUCCAGGGAUGGGAAUCGAACCCACACGAUGCCAUGUCCACUAGGCUACACUGGAC
rnacentral:tRNA from 1 species